rnacentral:lncRNA from 1 species
AAAAUAUUUAAUUUUAUAUUAUUAUCAUAAAAAAGAAUUCAUACAAGAUAUGAAUAUAGUCAAAAUUCAACAACUGCUCUAUCUAUACUAUUAUGCCUUACAAAAAUACUAAACAUAUUAAAUAUGCAACUAGCUAGCCAUCUGGUACAACUUUUCUUGUGAAUUCACAAGCCUCUUCAACUCAACGUACGACUCAUUUAAUCCACCACAAACCUGCCACAAAAUCAUAUAAAGAGCCAACCAAGAAUCACAAUGUAGAGCAUCAUGAUAAACACUUGAAAAGCAUAUUAAAGUAAUUGGUAAAAUGGACAAAACCUAUCAAGUUACUAAGCACUAAAAACUUCUCCAUUUCACAUUUUUUAGGAAAUAUUACUAAUCACUAAAAUUGAUGCAAGAACAAGCAUAUGAUUUUUGGUCCAAGGUAAAAAAAAAUACCAACAUAAUAGUGACCUUACAUACCUCAAGAUGCACUCGAAAAUAAUGCAAGUCUCCUCCAAUUAUCCUAAAUGGCUCCCCAUCUCUCCAAAACAUGUCUCUGCAAUCUCAAACUUAUGUGUGUAUCCCUAUAAAUAGUAAAAAAACAUAGUAAAUAGUAAAAAAACACAAAUACACAUAAAUAUAUGCAUAUAGAUAAAGAGAUAGCAGAAGAGAAAUGAAGAAUGAACCUUUCAACUGGAACUUGAAUUUCAAGUUGCUCACCACCACUAGCAGCCUGAGCAGUGCUGAAUCCUCGAGCAACAAGUGAGGGUGAACCUCCAGCAUCAGCCUAAUAAUACACGAUCAGUUUCAAAUUUAGGUCUUAGAGCACAGGAAUACAAGACAUGACUUUCAAAAUUUCUCGAGAAUUUCACAUCCCCUACAUAUCAACCACAAAGACUGUUUCGUUAAUUUUCAAAGUUUAAGACACACCACUGUAUCAAGUAAGUCAUCUUUUCAUAUUAAUUAAUCCAUGGAAGGACAUGCACGAUUUAGAAGCCAAACUGGCUAACAGACCUAGAUUCUUUAGCAAUAUAUGCAACAAUGGUAUGAAAGUAAACAAUUCUCAACUUUAAAAUGCAAAGGCUCUUAGGCAAUUUUCACUCCCAACUGGAUACUUGAACCGAUUCCACAACCAAUAACUAAAAUUUAAAGAAUACAAAGUAUAUAGCCACACACAUUGAAGCUCCAAACAUCUCUACGCCAACCACUUUCUACAAAUGACUGCAGUGUGAUGAAUAUCUUACCAUCUUUAUGUAAACAACUCAAAUUAUGUCAAAUAAUGAGCUCCAUAGCCUAAACAUAUCUUAUUUAAGUCCAAACAUUACAUGUCCUUUUGCAAUACUCUGUUUUUUAAUAAGAGAACUCAAUUAAAAGAACUAAACAUCCCUUGCAAAAUAUCAAGUAUAGAGUAGACAAUAAUCAAAACACUGAUUUCUACCACUGAAUACCAAAAUAUUUGAGCUAAUGAUUUUCCAUAAACAUGUUUAUUCCUGAGGUCAUGGAGCAAGAAUCAGUAUUAACUGAGAAAGAAGCCUGAAAAUACACACCUGGAGUUUUUCCAAGGUUGUUUUGGCAGCAGAUGCCUCCGGUGAUUGCACAGAGUCUUGCUCAACCUGCAUAGCAAACCACUAAUUAUAUGAAUCACUAAUUUAGGUUCACACGAAUUAUAUGAAUCACUAAUUACCUAAUUGUUUGCUCAACCUGCAUAGCAAACAUACACAAAUUCCCCCAAAACAACGAACCACAAAGAUACGCACAACGCAGCAUCACAAUAAGAAAGCAAGCAAUCGAAGACCAACUAACCCACAAUCAAAAUUAACCCCAAGUAAGCAUCACAAUGCCUCAGAUUCCAAAUAACCAAAAAUCAAAGAGUGAUAGAACGAAAUCACCUCGUUAGAGUAGAGUCAGAGCUGCAGAACACCAGA